CAGCGUUAUCGGAUUACUGGGCGUAAAGCGCACGCAGGCGGUCUGUCAAGUCGGAUGUGAAAUCCCCGGGCUCAACCUGGGAACUGCAUUCGAAACUGGCAGGCUAGAGUCUUGUAGAGGGGGGUAGAAUUCCAGGUGUAGCGGUGAAAUGCGUAGAGAUCUGGAGGAAUACCGGUGGCGAAGGCGGCCCCCUGGACAAAGACUGACGCUCAGGUGCGAAAGCGUGGGGAGCAAACAGGAUUAGAUACCCUGGUAGUCCACGCCGUAAACGAUGUCGACUUGGAGGUUGUGCCCUUGAGGAGUGGCUUCCGGAGCUAACGCGUUAAGUCGACCGCCUGGGGAGUACGGCCGCAAGGUUAAAACUCAAAUGAAUUGACGGGGGCCCGCACAAGCGGUGGAGCAUGUGGUUUAAUUCGAUGCAACGCGAAGAACCUUACCUACUCUUGACAUCCAGAGAACUUAGCAGAGAUGCUUUGGUGCCUUCGGGAACUCUGAGACAGGUGCUGCAUGGCUGUCGUCAGCUCGUGUUGUGAAAUGUUGGGUUAAGUCCCGCAACG
rnacentral:rRNA from 1 species